CGUGGUUCUUUGCAUGUUUCCCAUCUGGAAAAGUGAGAAUAUUUAGCCAGCCUACCUACUACACAACAUUCUUGGGAGAAUCAAGCAAAAUAACAAAAAAGCUUAGAAAAGUUCAGCAAAACGCAAACUUAAGAGAUUCCGUGUGCUGGGAAGUCAUGGACUUGAGCUGGCUGGCGACGGUUUCAUGUAACAGCAGGAACUGGACCCUGCAACGCAUGAACAGUGUACCAGAACACGAGAGAGAACACCCAAGACCCGGCCACAGCUCCCAGGAGCUUCGGUUAUAACAAGACAGGUAAACAUAUGAUGACGCUCCUCAAAUGCUUUAUUGAAAUGAAGGAAGGAAUGAGGAGGGAUGAAAGGGAGGAGGGAGGAAGGGCAGGGAAAGAGGGAAAUCAAACCACUGUUUCACACAUUCAUCCAGUGUUCUGGAUGUCUAGGGGGAAAGGAAAAUCGAGUCUCGUUGCCCCAACGGGUCUGAAAGGAAAAUUCUCUCGUCUUUGGGGUUAAAGUGUGCUGUUUAAUUUCCGAAUAGUUGGGGAACGUUUUUGUUAUUUUCUCUAAUUUAUUUCAUUUAUUUGAGAUCUCUAAGAGUUUACUGCUCUCAGUCUCCUUUUAAAUGCUCCUUUUAAGUGCAUGUGACGAAUUUUCAUAUGUUGUGUUUUGAUUUUUCAUUCAGUUCAAGAUACUUCCUAAUUUCCCCGUUGAUUUCUUCUAAUAUCCCCGUGUUACUCAGAAGUAUGUUAUUUAGCUUCCAGAUAUUGGGAGAUUUUCCGAGACCUUUCUGAAAAGUUUUGUUUUCCUCUAACUGCUUGUAUGAUUUUAUCUUCAUUCUAAUUGGCUGCAGUUGCACUAAGGUAUAUUUAGAUAUUAAUUUCUUUUUAUUUAUCAUGCUUGGGGUUCAGAAGGCUUCGUGGAGCUGGGGCAGCUCUACCAUUUUCUCUUCCGAGGAUGCUGUUCUCUCUCUCUCUCUCUCUCCUCUUCCCCUAGAGCUCCAUUUAAAUACACGACAUCCCUUCUCGGUCUCUGAUCCAAGUCUCUUAACUAAUCUUCCCCAUUUUCCAUUUGUUUGUCUCUCUGUGCUGUAUUCUGGAUAAUUCUUUCUGAUUUAUCUCCUAGUUCCUGGGUUCUUUGCUCAGGUCUAUCAAAUCUGUCUUUCUUACAGCCCAGGCAACGCGAAUUUUGGCUGAAAAUGCAAGGAAGGGCUGGGAUGUGGUUACAGUACCCCAGGAUCUUUCCUUCCCAGCCUGCUCAGCACCGAGGUGAUGUCCUUGUGGCCCCCAAAGUACUGGGGGGCAGUGUUGCUUCUGCUCUACCCUCACCCGCAGGCCAGCUCUUAGGGCCUCAGCUCCACAUGAGCUCCUCUUAAUCCUUUUAGAUCCCACCUGGGCAGCCUCGGACUUGAUGAAUUAUUUCCUUGCCCUUCGAGGCUGUCAAAACCAAAGUCAAACAUGGCAACGCUUGCUUGUGCCUGGAAGCAAAAGCCAUUCACAGAAUCUAGUUUCUACCCCAUUUUUUUGAUUCUCCUUUCUGUUGGGUUCUGAUUUGGUCACCCUUUACUCCUUGUUAGUUCUGAAAUGUUUCUAAGAAACUCAUUUCCACAUUUAUCCAGCAUGUUUAGUUGCUUUGAUUAGGAGAAUUGGUCCACAUAACCCAGUCUACCGUGUUACCGUAUUUCUUUUUUUAAGUGGUAUUUUUCAGUAUGUAAUUAACACGCAUUAAUUUUUAAAGUUUGGAAAAUACAGACAAGUCUAAGAAGGAAACUCGAAAGUCGCCCAUGGGCUUCCCUCCCACAUGCAACCGCUCUCGGCGUUUGUAGGACUUUCCCGCUAACUAGUGGUGAGCACAGGUCUGAGUCGGCUUUCCCUCAUCUGCUGAGCUCUCUUGUGCAGGACCUCCUCCACUCUUGCUCUGCCCCGGUUUUCUUUAUCACUGGAGCUCAGACAUCACAUGAAGAUCAAGGACAACCUGUAAGUCGUUAGAUGCCAACACUGGGGAGAAGGAAACAUGGAAACCUGGAUGAGAUAGCCCAGAAAAUGCAACAGAAGAUGGGAGCCAUGCUGGAUACGGUCAUCACAGGUGCGGAAGCAACCGUUAACAUCGCGUGGCAGCGAUGAGUCGGCGAGCAGGUGGCAGUGAAGCCUUGGCCCGUGCACGCUACCCACGUAGUCUUGAAUGAUGCAAUUAAUAGAAAACAUGUGCAAUGGAAGACAGACCUUCUCCAUCAGAGACUCUGAGGGCUGGUUUGCUAUGAGACGCGCCCAGAGACUGGGCUGAUGAAUCCAUGCAGUGUUGCCCAGUUGUUCAACGACACGCCCAGAAUAACAAUCACUGUAUCUGAUUUCCAGGGAAAUGCAGAGUAAACCAAGGAGACACCAUCUCACACCUGCGAGAACAGCCAACACCCAGAACACGUUAGCUGACCGCUGCCGAGGACGUGGAGCGCCUUUCACAUCACCGAUGUGGUUCAUGUUACCCCAGUACAUUCAAAACAAGUCGCAGGCCCGUAGGACCAGCGCUGGGAGUCGGGUUACAGCAGGUGGCUUCCUGGCGGGUGAAGCCCUUCUCCCGGAUGUGGCUGAGGUUCCCGGACGGACGAGGAAACGCCCACUGCCAGGCUGCGCCGCCAGCAGGGGGCGAAGGUGACCCCUCCCAGGGAAAAGCGGCUUUGGCCACAGGCACUCAGGCAGUGUCCACCUCGCUUUAUGGUUAAUAAACGUAGGGGCCCCGGCUGGCUCCGUCAGCAGAGUACGUGACUCUUGAUCUCCCAGUGAUCUCCCGAAAGGUUGCCGAGAUAGUUCCGGUUGCCGAGAUAGUUCCGAGUUGUGUGUUCACCUUCCGUGACCGUGGCGAGUGGGUCCACACAGAGAACCCCACACUGGGGCAUGACUGUUAGCUGCACUCCAGAUUCAUUUGGAUUUUGCUGGCCCAUCCACUGGUGUCCUUGGUCCGGUCUGAUUCAGGAUCCCAUGCCGGGUCACUGUAUUUCACCCUGACGGUGCGAUGGGGCCAGAAGGUUUGGGGGUCUGACCUGACUCUGGAUCAGGGACCGCAGUAAAACCGAAGACCCGUGGGGCCAUCCGUGCACCCAGCGUCGCCGCGUCCUGCCAGCCCCAAGUGGAGAAACAGGACGUUCUUCCGACCCGAGUCCGCUCCUUUCGCCCGCGUCCUCAGAGCAGCACUGGGAUGGGGAAGAAUGGGAUUCCCGCGCCCGGAGCGCCAGGGUCACAGGGUCGCCAAGGAUUUGAGAGCAGAUUUGAGAGCAGAGCUUGGGGACAGCGAUAAGGGUGAGGCCCUGCACAGGGUACCCGAGGCCAGUGUGAGCUCUCGCGGCCCUGACGGGGCAACAGGGCGAUGAGGGCCAGCCUCCCCGUCCCAGUCCCAGACACAGGCUAGUCCGGCUCCCCGCUCCCCCCCAUCCUGUGGAGACACAGUUAAUUCCAGACUGUGUGCCUUUGGUCUCCCUCCCCCCACCCCCACGC